UGCAAGCCAAUGGGUACUACUGGG
rnacentral:piRNA from 1 species